rnacentral:rRNA from 1 species
GAUGAACGCUGGCGGCGUGCCUAAUACAUGCAAGUCGAGCGAACAGACGAGGAGCUUGCUCCUCUGACGUUAGCGGCGGACGGGUGAGUAACACGUGGAUAACCUACCUAUAAGACUGGGAUAACUUCGGGAAACCGGAGCUAAUACCGGAUAAUAUAUUGAACCGCAUGGUUCAAUAGUGAAAGACGGUUUUGCUGUCACUUAUAGAUGGAUCCGCGCCGCAUUAGCUAGUUGGUAAGGUAACGGCUUACCAAGGCAACGAUGCGUAGCCGACCUGAGAGGGUGGUGAGCCACACUGGAACUGAGACACGGUACAGACUACGACGGGAGGAAGGAGUGGGGAAUGUUAGGCAAUGGGCGAAAGCCUGACGAAGCAAGGUCGAGUGAGUGAAGAAGGUCUUCGGGUCGUAAAACUCUGUUAUUGGGAAAGAAAAGAAGCGCAAGUAACUAUGCACGUCGUGACGGUACCUAAAGAGAAAGCCAAGGCUAACUACGUG